AGGCGCGUAGCUCAGAGGGAGAGCGCUACCUCGACACGGUAGAAGUCGUUGGUUCAAAUCCAAUCGCGCCUACCA
rnacentral:tRNA from 1 species